UACAGAGGGUGCGAGCGUUAAUCGGAAUUACUGGGCGUAAAGCGUGCGUAGACGGCUAUCUAAGUCGGGUGUGAAAGCCCCGGGCUCAACCUGGGAAUUGCAUUCGAGACUGAAUAGCUAGGGUGCGGUAGAGGGAAGCGGAAUUUCCGGUGUAGCGGUGAAAUGCGUAGAUAUCCGAAGGAACAUCAGUGGCGAAAGCGGCUUCCUGGACCAGAACUGACGAUCAGGCACGAAAGCGUGGGGAGCAAACAGG
rnacentral:rRNA from 1 species